rnacentral:lncRNA from 1 species
CGGAUUUUGAAGCGCGUUACCUUGGAAUGCUCUUUCCGUGCUUGUGGAAACAAGCGGAGAGUCUCCUAGAGGGGUGCUGUCUGUGGAUGAGAAGGCAGGUGACCCCCGUCCACUCACUUGAGAGGGAAGACUGUGCUGGGCAUGCAGAAAAAAGAAAACCCUACGAAAAGUGCAUGACUCCGGCGCCGAUGUUUUAGAUGUGUUUCUCAUCAGAAUCUUCAGUAUGACAGAAAAAUAUCGGGUGUAUCCCACUUUCGGGGCGUUUCCCAACCGGCGGUGUCCGCUUCGCAGAACUGGAACGUUCGAAGCACGCACAACGCGCUCAAAACCAGCUUGGAAAGAAAGUCGUUCUCUCUUCCAACCAGGACUUUUGCCUGUCCGAAGCAAAACGAAAGAUUGACGUGUGAGAAGCUGUCAUAUCGCUUAGGUCGCCACACCAGAGCCCCGACUACCCGAGUGCGCAUCCCUCGUUCCUAUCUCCUGCGUCUACCUUAGACGGUUUCCAGUCGCCCCCGUUUGCAACGAAGAAAUCGUCGCUGGAUGUUCCAGUCCCAAGUCACCGUGUUGAGAUGCGCCGGGGAACAAGCAAUGUGACUUCGGCCAUGCGAUUCAACAACCAAGUUAUGUGGAACUGAGGAGAGAGCU